rnacentral:lncRNA from 1 species
GGCGCCCAAGCCGUCGCACUCGCACCCGCCCAAGACCAAGCCCUCCCACCCAUCGCCGUCGCCGUCGCCGAAGCCCAAGAACCCCAAGCCACCCAAAGGCCCCGCGUACCCGGCGCCGGGGCACCAGCAACCGCCCAAGAGCCCCUCCUACCCGCCGGUCACGCGUCCGCCAGUCGUCGGCCCGCCCAAGGGCCCCGUCACGCGCCCGCCGGUCACGCGUCCGCCGGUCGUCGGACCACCGGUGACCUACCCGCCGAUCAUCGGCCCACCGGUCACGCGUCCGCCGGUCGUCGGGCCACCGGUGACCUACCCGCCGAUUACCGGCCCUCCGACGACGCCGCCGGUCGUCGGCCCACCGGUCACCUACCCGCCGAUCACCGGCCCUCCGUCAACCACGCCUCCGAUCACCGGCCCGCCGUCGACGACGCCCCCAGUCACCGGUCCGCCCGUGACCUACCCGCCCGGCGGAGGCGGCGGCAGCUCGACGCCGUGCCCGCCGCCGCCACCGCCAUCUACCCCGACCCCGACGCCGUCGUCGCCGACGUGCCCGGCGGACUCGCUGAAGCUGGGCGCGUGCGUAGACCUGCUGGGCGGGCUGGUGCACAUCGGCCUGGGCGACCCGGUGGUGAACAAGUGCUGCCCGGUGCUGGAGGGGCUGGUGGAGCUGGAGGCGGCCGUGUGCCUGUGCACCACCAUCAAGCUCAAGCUCCUCAACAUCAACCUCUACCUGCCCCUGGCGCUCCAGCUCCUCCUCACCUGCGGCAAGACGCCGCCGCCGGGCUACACCUGUACCAUCUGAUCUCGAUUUGGCUAGCAACCCCCAUGCAUGUGCAUCCAUGAACAUGUAAGUGUGACUAGCUAGCACUAGCAGUAGCUAUAUAUAUAUGCAUGCAUCUCAAGAUCUGCAUGUACCAUUAUUAAUUGCAAAUGGCAUAUGCAUGCUAACUCUGAUCGAUGACUGUGAAAAUGCAGGGGUUCUGGAGUGAGCUAGCAUUCUUUGUUCGGUAGAGAUUGAAGAGAGAUCGACAUGAGAGGAUGUCGUCUGCUUCGUUCCUAGCUAGCUGAAGGGCUCCGAUCCGGCAGAGGAAAGAGGACCUGCAGGUCGAUCAGCUAAUUGACGAUGGAUCGACCAUUUCCCAUGUUUAUUGUUUGUCUCUGUUGUGGUUUCUACUUUCUAGAUGUGUUUUCAGUUUGGUCUCUCGGUCGAUUCGCAGCUUGAUGUUUUGGUUAAGCUUGAUUUGAUGCAAGAGGGGGUGAUGGUUGAUUGUUAAUAAUUCCCGUUAUUUGCCAUGAAAAGGCAUGAACUCGGUCAUGAUUGAGAGCUGGAAGAAACAUUGUUGUUGCAUGCAAUGCAUGCAUGUCUUUGAUCAUUGGUUCACUUGUUUUUUAUCUGCUGUGGUUUAAUUUAUGCUUGUCCAUCUUAAAUAAAACUAGCUACUUAUUUGAUUAAAUUUCUCAACUCAUGGGACUAAGAUCACGCGUGAGAGUUAUAUAUAUGACAGGUUCGUACGAUCGAGUACCAUACUACAUGAAUAAAAAGUAAGAGGUGUUGGUAACUUAUAUAUUCUAAGAUUUGUUGUCUUGUACUUCCUGUAUAAUGUAUCUGAAUAUUAUCUGACAUUUGUAAUUGGAAAUUUGCAAUAGACGACACUGCACUGCACACUCCACAGCCACGCAAAUUAAAGUUGUUGCCGGGGCCCUCGGCCCGAGAGAGAUCUCUCACUCACAUGCAUGAAUAUAUGCGUGGGGAUCUAGUACGUAUACGUACGGCCGCGAAACCCUAGUAUAUAGUAGAGAAUAGUUUGACGACGACGGCGGACGGUCACUCUCUGAAGCUCUGCAUAAUGAUAUGCAGCCGACCGGCGGCACGCCACGAUAGGUGCAAAAGUGACGCGCGAGCAUGUGUCGUUUGGCGCUUUGUCACCCGUGACCGUGAGCGACGGGAGCGCGUCGUCCGGUCCAACGUAUAUACCUGGCCAUGCAGCCCGAGCCCGUUAGCACGGCCCAAAGCCCGUCACUUUGGCCCGGCCCAAGCACGGCACGGCCCGAAGUUCAUUGGGCCCGGGCUGGCACGGCACGGGGGUGCAGGCCGUGCUUGGGCCGCACUUCAGGCCCGCAGGCCGGCACGGCCCGGCCCGCCAAAUAAUGGCAGGCCCGGUACCGGCCCGCUCCCCCACCAGGCCGGCCGGCGCCAGCAGCCAGGCCGCCAGCCCAGUAGGGCGCGCCGCGCGCCUCCCUGGCUUCCACUCCCCCCGACCCCCCUCCAUAUAAAUUUCCGCCCGGCCGGCCCCCGCGGCGCUCGCCCGCCUCACUCAGUCUCCCCACCCGAAACCCUAACCCUAAUCCCCACCGCAGCCGCGCCGCCGUCGCUCGUCCUCCCUCACCACCGCAGCCGCGCCGCCGUCGCUCAUCGACCGUCGGUCGUCGGCCGUCGCCCUCGCACUCGCAGUCACCAGUCGCAGCGCAGGCGCAGCCUCGCACUCUCUCUCUCAGAUCGGAUCCGAGAGGUCGGCUCCUCCUCUCGACUACUUCGCCGCCGUCGUCCUUCGAUCUGGUGACAUCGCCGUCGCCGUCGGCUCUCUGCCUCUCUCCCUGAGUUCCCUGCUCCCUGCCUCCCUCUCCCUAUCUGUCUCCCUUCUUCCUCUAUCCUGUCCAUGAGCAUGUGAGUCCGCCUCCCCGUCUCCGUUCCGUAGUCGCUCGUCGUCCUUCUUAAUCUCGUCUUCUCCGGCGCCGGGCUCCGGUUGCGCAGGUAAGAUCUAACCCUAGAUCUCGUCUUCUUCGUCAUUUUUCUUUUCCCCCAUUCUAAUCUAACCCUAGAUCUGUUCUUUUUGCAGGUCUGUUGCCGAUGCCUCGUCGUCAACUAGCCUUGGUGGCGUAGACGGACGACGGGCUAGGGCAAUGGCACCGCGGCCAAGUCGUGGCCACGCACCGUUGAGGAAUGGUGCUGGAGGAGGAGGAGUACAGUCGUCCGCGGCCGAGGGCCCCUUGGCGACGACGUGCGACGAGUGGACAGGGAAUGACGACUUCAUCGCUGCUGGGCUGUCCCCGGAGAGGGACGAUGACGGCCGUGACCCCUUUGAUGUGUUUGUCGACGCAUCCGGUGGCGGCGGGUCACAGCCUCCCGUGAACGACGUCGAUCCCGUCGAUGCGGUGGACUCCAACACCCACACCAUGAGCACUGGUGUUAAUGGUAAUGGUGAUGGUAAUGCUACUCCUUCCUCUGGUACAUGUGGUAAGCGACGGUCUAAGUGUUGGGAAACAUUUGAUGAGGUUUUUGAGAUGAUAAAUGGUAAUCGUGUGCGUGUUAAAGCUAUCUGUAAGAUUUGUAAAAAAGUUUUGAGUGGUAGAUCUGCUGCUGGUACUGGUCAUAUUCUUAGGCACGCUAAAGGUUGCCUUGCUAAACUUGAUUAGCAAAAUAAGGUUCAGUCUCGACUAGCUUUUAGUUCUGAUGGGGCUUUGCAUAAUUGGAACUAUGAUCCUACUGUUGCUAGAACUGAACUGUGUAGAUUGAUUGCUAGGCUUGAUCUUCCUCUUGGUUUUGGUGACACUGAUGCAUUUGAAGAAUACAUUGUUCGUGCUCAUAAUCCAAGAUUUGUUAGAUCAUCUAGAAGAACCACCACUAGAGAUCUAGAUAAGUUAUUUGCUGAACGUCGUGCUAUGAUUAGGAACUGUGUGCAUGCUUCAUCAUCUGUUGCUUUGACUUCUGACAUAUGGUCUGGUAAUGCUAAGGAGGAUUACAUAUGUGUUGUUGCUCACUAUGUAAAUUCUAACUGGGAGUCGCAAAAGAAGAUUAUAGGUCUUAGGUUGAUUGAAGUUAAGCAUAAUGGUGAAAACAUUUCUGCUGCCAUUGCAUCUGUGGUUGAGGAAUAUGGCUUGAUUGAUAAGAUCUUUUCUAUCACUUUAGAUAAUGCAUCUUCCAAUGCUAAGGCAAUGGAAACUUUGACACCCAUGUUUGCUGGUUAUCUUGGUCCUGACCCUGCACCUGAUGAUGAUGAUCCUAUUAAUAGAUCUUACAGUCUUGUGCAUCAACGUUGUGCUUGUCACAUUAUUAAUCUGAUAGUUAAAUCUGCACUAAAAAGAAUCAAACCUUAUAUAGAGGACUUUAGAACUGCAAUUAAUUUCUUGAACUCCUCUAAUCAAAGAGUUGCUAUGUUUAAGAACUACUGUGAAGCUAAAGGUAUGAGGCCUAGAAAAUUUGGCUUAGACAUGGAUGUUAGAUGGAAUGCUACUUAUCUCAUGCUUAAACAUUUGGUUCCUUAUCGUGAAGUAUUUUCUGUGUUCAUAAAUUCAAAUUAUGGUAGUGCCCUGUUGUCUCAAGCUCAUUGGCAUGUGGCUGAGAAAAUAUUGGAGUUCCUGGAACUCUUUUAUGAAUGUACUGUUACACUAUCUGGUGUUUAUUGUCCUACCAGUCCUCUUGUUCUGCACCAUGUUCUGGAGAUUGCAACUCAUUUACAUGCUUGUGAAAGAGAUCUUAAUCUGAGAGCCUUUGUGUUUCCUAUGCAAAGUAAGUUUCUUAAGUAUUGGAAGACAUUCCUAUGUUAUAUUCAUUUGCAUUCAUUCUUGACCCUAGAGCUAAGCUCAGAGGUAUGCAAAGGGUCCUCCAUUUACUUCAUGAAUGUAGUGGUACUGAUUACACUGCUUACUAUGCUGAUGUGAAAACUGAGUUGCAUAAAUUGUUUGAGAAAUAUUUGAGAAAGUAUGGUGCAUCCUCUAAUCAAAGAGUUGCUGGUCCUACCCCAGUCACAGGUAAGAGAAAACAGGCUUGGGGGAGAAUUUUUGGAGGAUCAGAUCUACCUGGUCCUUCAUCUGCCUGUUCUUCUUCUCAAUCUACUGCUUCUGAACUUGCAAGCUAUUUGGACAGCGACUGCAUAACUUCUUAUGAGGAUGGUUUUGACAUUAUCCUAUGGUGGCGUGAUCACAAACUAACCUAUCCCAUCCUGGCUAUUAUGGCCAGAGAUAUCAUGUCAGUUCCUGUUUCCACCUGUUCUUCAGAGUCUUGUUUCAGUUUAUCUGGAAGGAUCCUAGAAGAACGACGCCGAAGCUUGAAACCCGAACAUGUGGAGAUGCUAACCUUGUUGAAGGACUGGGAGCUAGGAGAGAAGAGGGAGCAACAUCAAGCUGCUGAUAACAAGGAAAUCGAAGAUGCCUUUGAGAAUUUGUUCCUGGAUGAACCUGAAGUUGCAGAUGAGGGUACUGGUGGCUGAGGGGUGGUCAUUUCAUUUGUUUGCUGGGAGUGUUGGUGCUUUUGUGUGAGUUGAGAGUGGUAGUGAGUAGUGACCCUCACUCACUUAGUUUUCAUUUGAACAUUUGAACAAUGGUCUGUAAUAUUGUUAAGACAGUAAGACUUAAGACAUUUAGAGCUGGCUGCACUCUUUUUUCCUGCCUAGGGUUUCUCACAAGGGUGAGUUUUACCUAGGUAGGUUUUUAAUGAGGCAGCAUUGCACCAAACAGCUCAUUUUGAUAUUUACAUCUGUCAACUCUCAUCUGUGUUUGAAUCUGUUAUCUAAGUAUCUAACUGAUGAUUGAUGAAUAUGAAUAUGUUUGAAAUCUGAUUUUAAAUAUGUAUUUAUUGAGAUGUUAUCUUUCAACGGGCUAUGGGCUGGCCCGGCCCUCUAUUUUUACCGUGCCUGUCGGGCCAGCCCGGUACGCAAAACGGCCCGCCGUGCCGUGCCUGGGCCGAAGGUCAGGCACGCAGGCCGGUAAGGCACGGCCCGCAGGGCACGACGUGCCCCCUCGGCCC